rnacentral:rRNA from 1 species
UGGGGAAUAUUGCACAAUGGGGGGAAACCCUGAUGCAGCGACGCCGCGUGAGCGAAGAAGUAUUUCGGUAUGUAAAGCUCUAUCAGCAGGGAAGAAGAAUGACGGUACCUGACUAAGAAGCACCGGCUAAAUACGUGCCAGCAGCCGCGGUAAUACGUAUGGUGCAAGCGUUAUCCGGAUUUACUGGGUGUAAAGGGAGCGCAGGCGGUACGGCAAGUCUGAUGUGAAAGCCCGGGGCUCAACCCCGGUACUGCAUUGGAAACUAUCAGACUGGAGUACCGGAGAGGUAAGCGGAAUUCCUAGUGUAGCGGUGAAAUGCGUAGAUAUUAGGAGGAACACCAGUGGC